UACGUGAAACCGUUCAGGGGUAAACGGGAGAAAUCCUGAAUUCGAAAGGGAUUGGAUUCAACUGCAUCCGGCAAUUUCAGGCUGCCUCCCGCCAGAUGUCGCUGGUCGCCCGCGGCGAUUCAUUUCGCUUGCGGUGUCGUUCCCGGCGUUCACUCGGCGGUGUGGUGUAUCGCUCUGGAGUGGGAGCAGUGCACUUCCUCCCUAGUAGAAACGUCGCGACCCGUUGGGUGCCGGUCAAAGGCCCGGGCAGGCAGCCCGUGCGUCCCGCGGCUUAACCGUCGCGGUCGCGCGGACGUCCGGUGACCCGGCCGGCUGCCCGACGGUAUGACCAGAGGAGUCGAUCCGCUGAAAGAGAAGCACUUGGGUUCUGUGCAGCGUCCGGCCCGGCGCCGUCGCGUGCGGGGAAGCCGACCCAGGUCGGUGUGGGUGUCCGUGCGGCGUCACGGCCCUGGCCCCGUUUCGCGUCGGAUGUUCGGUGUCCUCGGACCGGAUCAGCACUCCCGUCGGCGACGCCCACCUUCGG
rnacentral:rRNA from 1 species